UACGAAGGGGGCUAGCGUUGUUCGGAAUUACUGGGCGUAAGGCGUGCGCAGGCGGCUCAUCAAGUCAGAGGUGAAAGCCCAGGGCUCAACCCUGGAACUGCCUUUGAAACUGUUGGGCUUGAGUACGGGAGAGGUGAGUGGAAUUCCGAGUGUAGAGGUGAAAUUCGUAGAUAUUCGGAAGAACACCAGUGGCGAAGGCGGCUCACUGGACCGUAACUGACGCUCAUGCACGAUAGCGUGGGGAGCAAACAGG
rnacentral:rRNA from 1 species